UACAUCCACUUGAUUCUUAAUACUGUGUUGUUCCCUGAAUGAUCCACAGCUGUGUGUUUUUGUUUAGUGAUAGUUGUUCAUGAGUCCCUUGUUUGUUCUGAACAGUUAAACUGUCUGCUGUUCUUCAGAAAAAUCCUGUGCUGUGCUUUUCCAACAUUUUUGUGUAUUUGAACACUUUCCAGCAGUGACAGUGUGAAAAGAUGGAUCUCAAAAUCAUACAGAGGACAACUGAGGGACUCAUAUGCAACUAUUACAGAAGGUUUAAACGCUCACUGAUGCUCCAGAAGAAAAAAAUAAUGUAUUAAGGGGGUGAAAACUUUGAAGUUCAUGGUAAAUUGAACCAUUGUGGGAAACAUGUAACCCAGACAGCAACAUAGUGUUGGCCCAGAUCCGGCCCACAUCUGGCCCGCGUGAAAUCAAUGCGGGCCAGAUGCGGGCCACAUGUGGGCCGGAUCUGGGCCGACACUGCUUGCUGUCUGGGAAGUAUCUUCUGUAGCUUCUGAAGGGCAGUACUAAAUGAAAAAAAUAUUUAGGCAAAAUAAGAAAAAUGUACACCUUCAUUCUGUUUAAAGUUUUCACCCCCUUAAUGUAUCGUGUUUCCUUCUGGAGCAUCAGUAAGCAUUUUUCACUUCCAGUUCUUUUCCACAUCAUCAAUGUUAUCCAUGGUUAGCAUUUUUUAAUUUUCCUGUAAUCGAGUAAUUUUGUCCUGCUUUGUGUGUAACAAAGAUCAUGUUCAUUCUGCUUACUGCCCAUAGGUGUGAAGUAUAAUAACUGAUAUAACAGAAGAAAAGCAAGGAGAACCUGUGCCACCUGUUUUAUAUUAAAAAAUACACAACUAAUUGCAUAUUACACAGAUAUGUUAUGAAUGUAUUUGUUUCAUUUAGUAUUACAAAGCAAGGAAGGCAAUGUUUAAGCCUUACACAUAAGAGUCACAGUUUAUUAACAUGCUCCACUGUGGAAAUUAGUGCAUGGGACAUCAGUGUCAUACACACUUCCUUUAAUCACCGACUUGAGAUGAAAAAGGGUUUGUACCCAAAUGACACACAGACUAUAGCAUUGCUAGAAGACUAUGACUGUUAUAACAGGUAUAUUGUUCAGGAUGAGUGUGAAGUUAUUUGAAGGAGCAUUUCUCCAGAAAGCUGCAAGCCUCAAUCGGCCCCAACAAACAGUUUAUUGGCGGUUGGCAAACAACUUUUUGGUGCAUUACCGCCACCAUCUGGUAUGAGUGUGGACCAGAAUGUUGUGUGCGCUCGUUUCGGACGCGGC